UUACAAUCCGAAGACCUUCUUCACACACGCGGCAUGGCUGGAUCAGGCUUUCGCCCAUUGUCCAAUAUUCCCCA
rnacentral:rRNA from 1 species